GGCGAACGCUGGCGGCGUGCCUAAUACAUGCAAGUCGAGCGGACCGGAUUGGGGCUUGCCUUGAUUCGGUCAGCGGCGGACGGGUGAGUAACACGUGGGCAACCUGCCCGCAAGACCGGGAUAACUCCGGGAAACCGGAGCUAAUACCGGAUAACACCGAAGACCGCAUGGUCUUCGGUUGAAAGGCGGCCUUUGGGCUGUCACUUGCGGAUGGGCCCGCGGCGCAUUAGCUAGUUGGUGAGGUAACGGCUCACCAAGGCGACGAUGCGUAGCCGGCCUGGGAGGGUGACCGGCCACACUGGGACUGAGACACGGCCCAGACUCCUACGGGAGGCAGCAGUAGGGAAUCUUCCGCAAUGGGCGAAAGCCUGACGGAGCGACGCCGCGUGAGCGAAGAAGGCCUUCGGGUCGUAAAGCUCUGUUGUGAGGGACGAAGGAGCGUCGUUCGAAGAGGGCGGCGCGGUGACGGUACCUCACGAGAAAGCCCCGGCUAACUACGUG
rnacentral:rRNA from 1 species